rnacentral:sRNA from 1 species
GGAUUUGAGGGCAAUCUAGCUGCUUCACAGUUGAUCUGCCUGGCUAGGUGGGUGUCUCCUUCCUCCCUCAACGCUCCAUUUGUGUCUCCCGAAACUGUACACAUGAUGGAAAGAGGACAAACUAUCCCAGAUAGGAGUGUCUUGUUCUUUUGGUCAAGGGUGUACGAUAAUUUCCCUACGUGCUACAGCAAUGUUACAAAACCCUUUCUAUUUUAAGGUGUUUAAAGUUUAGAUAUUCAU